AUGGAAUCUGCAGAGCUGGAAGCACUGAGAGGAAAGACACAAGAGAGUGUAGCGGUGCUGCAGGAAGCAGUGGCUCUGCUGUCGGACCGCGCCUACAUGCCUCCAGGCUCCAUGCUGACUUUAGCUCGAGCUGCUUUGCUGCUCAAUGACAUUCGAGAACAUCAGAGCUCCUCACUCCUCCAGGUCACGAGGAAGCUGUUGGACAUGCAGAUGCGUCUGUUUGGUCAGAGUGUGGAUGACAACGUGGAUGUCUGCCCUCCUGGCUCUAGCAACAUUUACCUCCCUUACAUCACCAUGCUGAAGGAAAUCACUUUGAGGAUUGAUUUCAUGGAGAAUUCUGACAACAAGGAACAGCUGACAUCUUCUCAAACUCUCCACCUAAUCUGAUGCCAAAGGGCUUUUAGUUCCAAGUGGAUUUUUUUCAUUUACUUUUUCUUGGAAAGCUUUGUUUGAACAACACAAUUCGCAAUUAGCGCGGGAUGUUUGAUGUUAUCAGUUUUACUGGGUUGCCAUAGAUGGGCAGGCUGUUGCAGCAAGAAGAAUUUCAAAAAAUGCAAAUAAAGUUGGAGAUGGUUCUCCUAUUGAUAGUUGAAGUGUUUUCAUGUAUUCAUGUACUUUUUUUCAAUCUGUUUUUUGACUGUCUUGUUGUUUAACCUCCCACGGAGAAGACAAAUAUCUUUUUUUUUAAGGUCUCAGAGUAAUUUAAAAUUUUCAAACAUUUUCAUUAGUGAUAGUGCAUUUUCACUUUGCAUACAUUUCAAAGAUUCUGUACAGUUUUUUUGUAGUUUUUUCUUAAACACUAUGAAGACUGGCCUGACUUUUUUGCAUUUUGAAGAAUGAAUGAAAAAUGUUGAAAUCAUUAAAAAAUAUUUAUAAUAUAG
rnacentral:lncRNA from 1 species